UUAUAUUACCAUCUUGUGUAGUAGUGCGCAAACGACGUCAUUGCAAUGUUUCCCUAGUCAGUCAGUAUGACAAACCGCGACCCACGAACUACUCACAAGUCACAACUCAUUCUCCUUUGUUACUUUCACGGAGUGUUUAUAUCGUGAAGGUUACAGUGUUUUAACAUAUAAAAAUAAAUAAAGUGUAGAAGUCGGUCAGUGAGCAGUGCUGCAAGAUGGGUUUAUGUCUGUCGUUCGACUGCGGAGACGCAGAGUUUUGCUGCAACCCUUGUUGCUUGGCGUUGAGCGCUUGUUGCCUGGUGCCCUGCCUGUGUCCGAACGCGUGCGGGCAGCAGCAGCAGCCGACACAUACCGUGGAUGUGGUGCAUCACCAGCCUGUCAUAAUCCAAGACCAGAGCUAUCCUCCACCGCACGGCUACCCGCCACCGCCUGGGGCCUACCCACCCCCCGGAGCCUACCCACCUCCCGGCGCGUACCCCUACCCCCCACCCAACGAAGGAUACCCCUACCCACAACCUAUGGCCAGAUGAAAAGCUUAUAGUUAAGGAUGGGUUGCAAUAUAUCGUGUCGUCCCUGCUGCUGCUGUUGCAUCCCUGGCUGCUGCUGCGAUUGCUGCAGCUCGCCUCCACCACCCCGGCCUGUCGUGACCCACGUCACCCACCAAGUCGUAGUACAGGCCCCUCCAUCUAACAUGGCCCGAUCUGGAGCACCACCUCCCUAUUCAUAAUAUAGAAAUUUAUGCAUCAAACCGAUAAAUGAUUAGGUAAAAAAUCGCGCAAUCAAUCAGAUCAAUUUUUAAAAUGCAUUUUUCGGCAUUUCCCUUCUACUUUCAACUACAAGCUCCUGCUUCCGAAUAAUAAGUCACCACAAGUACAAAAACGCAUUUGAACGAAUUAUUUUUACUUAAAACUUUUGUGAAGUGAUUUUUUAUAUGAAUUCAGACGAUUUAAUUUUGGCUUUCCCGAAAAACGUGCGUAACAUUUCUCGGGAAAGCCCUUUUACUUUCUUAGUUCUUAAUCAUGUAGUUGUUAUCAAAGUAAACGCGUGACUAAACCGUUAGUAAACAUUUUGGUUGUACUUUUAAUCUUAGGAUAUGAGUCAUACCAUGAUUAAUUCUCAAUUAGCGGCUAAUGUGGGGGUGAGUCAUGGUAUUGCUUUAACUUAUCGCAAUGAAUUGAUGUAGCAGGUGGGUUUUUUUUUACAUAAAAAAAUCAUAACUUGUUACUGCUGUAAUAUAUCAGUCGUAUAUAGAACGUCACGACACGAGUGACGAGUUAUAUUGUCAUCGCCUUCGAAAAGUGAAAUGUAGAGACAAACAUACAUUUGAGAUCAUCACAUGUCUGUGUCGUUCCUCAUACGGCUAUAAAUGUUGUAUAAAAUGUUCAAGUUUUAUUGUAUUAAUUUUAAGAAAGUUUGUUAAUGACCAUGUCACCACUUAUUGUUAAUGUCAUUAUUAUAUUGUUUUAUAUA